UCGAGGAUCUUUGGCAAUGAGCGCAAGCUUGACCAAGCGACGCCGCGUGUGCGAUGAAGGCCUUCGGGUUGUAAAGCACUGUCGAGGGGGACGAAGCCGCAAGGUUGACCGAUCCCUGGAGGAAGCACGGGCUAAGUUCGUGCCAGCAGCCGCGGUAAGACGAACCGUGCGAACGUUGUUCGGAAUCACUGGGCUUAAAGGGCGCGUAGGCGGCUUGCCAAGUCAGUGGUGAAAUCCUGCAGCUUAACUGCAGAAGUGCCUUUGAUACUGGCGAGCUCGAGGGAGGUAGGGGUAUGUGGAACUUCUGGUGGAGCGGUGAAAUGCGUUGAUAUCAGAAGGAACGCCGGUGGCGAAAGCGACGUACUGGACCUCUUCUGACGCUGAGGCGCGAAAGCUAGGGGAGCAAACGGGAUUAGAUACCCCUGUAGUCC
rnacentral:rRNA from 1 species